rnacentral:rRNA from 1 species
GACGAACGCUGGCGGCGUGCUUAACACAUGCAAGUCGAACGGAAACGCCCCGUCUUUCAGGGGUACACGAGUGUCGAACGGGGGUGUAACACGCGUGUGAACUGCGCUGAACUUCGGGAUAUGCCUUGGGAACUGGGAUUAAUACCGGACAGGACUCUGCGUUGGAUGCCAUUGUGGAAAGUUUAGCGGUGUGAGAUGAUCUCGCGGCCUAUCACCUUGUUGGUGGGGUAAUGGGCUACCAAGACGGCGACGGGUCGCCGGCCUGCGAGGGGGGACGGCCACAUUGGGCCUGAGGGAGGCAGCAGACUCCUAUGGGAGGCAGCGGUGGGGAAUAUUGCGCAGUGGGCGCGAGCCUGAUGCGGCGGCGCCGCGUGGGGGAUGACGGCCUGCGAGUUGUGAACUACUUUCGCUAGAGACGAUGCGGAAGUGACGGUACCUGGAGAAGAAGCACCGGCUAACUACGUG